GCAAGUCGAGCGGUAGAGAGGUGCUUGCACCUCUUGAGAGCGGCGGACGGGUGAGUAAAGCCUAGGAAUCUGCCUGGUAGUGGGGGAUAACGCUCGGAAACGGACGCUAAUACCGCAUACGUCCUACGGGAGAAAGCAGGGGACCUUCGGGCCUUGCGCUAUCAGAUGAGCCUAGGUCGGAUUAGCUAGUUGGUGAGGUAAUGGCUCACCAAGGCGACGAUCCGUAACUGGUCUGAGAGGAUGAUCAGUCACACUGGAACUGAGACACGGUCCAGACUCCUACGGGAGGCAGCAGUGGGGAAUAUUGGACAAUGGGCGAAAGCCUGAUCCAGCCAUGCCGCGUGUGUGAAGAAGGUCUUCGGAUUGUAAAGCACUUUAAGUUGGGAGGAAGGGCAUUAACCUAAUACGUUAGUGUUUUGACGUUACCGACAGAAUAAGCACCGGCUAACUCUGUGCCAGCAGCCGCGGUAAUACAGAGGGUGCAAGCGUUAAUCGGAAUUACUGGGCGUAAAGCGCGCGUAGGUGGUUCGUUAAGUUGGAUGUGAAAUCCCCGGGCUCAACCUGGGAACUGCAUUCAAAACUGUCGAGCUAGAGUAUGGUAGAGGGUGGUGGAAUUUCCUGUGUAGCGGUGAAAUGCGUAGAUAUAGGAAG
rnacentral:rRNA from 1 species